GGGAGCCCAGAGUCGGUCCGUGUGCCGUGGGACAGACGCUGGGAGCUGUCUGGGGAGGAACCGCCAGGGCUUUCCCCACAAAAACAAGCGCUCGGCGGGGUUCGCAUCAGCCGGAAGGGCGGCCCACUUGCCCGGUCUCGCCGGACACGGCGUGCAGCUGUUGCGAGAGGCGGUGCGGGGAAGCGCAGAGCCCACAGGGCGGGCAGAGGAACGCGUGCGCUUGCCCGCCGUUGUGUAACGCUAACCGGGAGCCGCCGCCAGUGAACAAGCUGCACGGCGGGCACCUUGCCAGUCAAUCCCAGGCUGAGCAGGUUGGGAGGAAGAAAUUUUGGGAGUCCGGCGAGGUGGGGGAGUAAAAAGGAAAAAAUCAUGUCCCUGGGGAGAGGAACUGGUGUGGUUCUGGAAAGAUAGUCAUUGAAGAGGUAGCACCAUUAGAAACUAUGGUGAGAGCUCACAGUCCCAAUCAAUGUAGUUAUAGAAUUGUAGUCUGGUCAUGCUAACAAACAGGAUCAGUAAAGAGGGGAGUUCUGCGAGGGAGUUCUCCAGCCAAAGGAGGAGUGACUACAUGACCCUCGGGUAAGAGCCUAAAAUCAGAUACAUUCAAACCAGCUGGUAAAUGAGCCGUAAACAACUUCAGCAGAUAAACCUGAGCUGGCUCUGGAAAAAGCAGCCACAUGGGCAGUGACUGGAGUGCACAGAUGAAGAGACAAUGGCAAUUGGGAAUGAUUAUAAGGACCUGAAGAGGUUAGAACAGAGCCUUCUAUCUGGCCAAUCAUGGGGGUGAGGAGAGGAGGAAAGAUGAAACAGAGAAUAUGGAGACCUUUGAAACAGGAAGAGGAAGUGAUCAGCAUACAGAACAUGAAAUGUGGAUUAAGUGGCCCAGCAUGUUUGCUCCAUAAUGAGAGGAAUGGACACUCCAGGAAAACGCCUCUGGAGAACUAGGGAGUUGGGAUUCAUUGGUUGUUCCCUGCAAGUCAAGGAUUGGACUGGCAGAGUUCUGAAGAGUUUGCUGGCAAGGCAGACAAGCUGUGAUGAUCGAGUGGCAAAAUAACAUCAUGAUCAGAUCUGCUUAUGGAGUGACAUACAAGUGCACGAGCUUCUGGGUGAGGUCUACCGUAAGAAGCAAAGACCUGGAGAGGAUGAAGAGUUUCCUGCAAUGACCAAAUUGGGAAUAUCUACAGUUUUGCUGAACCCAGAGACUGGAGAUAUCAUCAUCAUCGUCAUCAUGUCUUUUGAGGACCAUUGUGCCAGCUAGAGUAUCCAAAGUUUAUAGCAUCAUAUCAAGCAUUGUAGAGUGAAGUUCCCAGAUCUGUCUCAAACCUGCAAAUCCACGAAUCUCUGUGAUGGUCCAGUGGGCAAUGCCAGUAGCCAGAGAAGAAGCAGUAGAAUUUGUUUGGAGAUGGGCGUGGGUCAGAACAGUCUUUGGAGCAUGAGGAGAGCUUUGCAUCGUGAUUGAACCAAAGAAAUCUGUCUUCUGCCUCAAAGCAGAAAUCUUGGUUGCUGAGGCAACAUGUUGACUGGGGGGGACCCCAAAACUAAAGCAAAAAAUCUUAAGUAAAGAUGGCUCAUUUCCAACUCACUAUUUAUUUUUUUUGAUCUUCAUAGAAAAGACACAUACUGGCAAGAAAGCACUGCUGGUGGCUUUUUAAUAAAAAAAUCUGUUUGCUGAGGGAUUAUGCCUCAUAACUUGAAUGUUCAGCUGGUGAGAAAUGCACACUAGUAGUUCAAAAUUUUAAAAAUAUGAAACACUGUAUUAAAAAUCUUUAGAGGUUUUAUAACUUUAGUAGGAAAAGUUCUUAAAGGCCCUAGUUGGAAAGCAUCUGCUUAACCAUGAACUGGUUGCUAGGUUUUAAAAAGAUUUGUUGCUUGUAGCUAAUACAGAGUUGUUCCAAAAUGCACUCUGUUUCACUUAAUGAACAUGUCUUUAAUGUUCAAGUAGUUGCAUAAGAUUUAGCCACACAGCUCCCACUGAAUUGAACAGGAGUUCUGUAUUUAAAUCUAGUGAAACCCAUUGAAAAUGUGUCAAUUUAAUUUGCACUCCAAACUUUUUUGUUACGAGGGGAAAAAAACCUUGUGAGUUAACUUAUCAAAAGAAAGAAGCACAGUUAAAAGUGUUUGCUGAAACUUUCUUUAAUUUUUUCCAAUACAGACAUUGGGCUAAUGUAAAUCCACAUAAAUUAAUUGAAAUAUGUGGAGCUGUGAUGAAUAAUGCUAGUUGAGGCUCUGCCCCAUUUUGCCAAGGUAUUCAACCUCUUUCAGUUUUGCAUAUUAUCUGGUGUGUACUGUACUAUCUAGAUACAAGAUUAGGAUUGCUUGAAAGCUUGUGUCUUACACAAACAGAAGUUGGUCCAAUAAAAGAUAUUACUUCACCCACCUUGUCUCUCUAAUAUCCUGGGACCAACAUGGCUACAAUAUUAAAUACAAGAUGUCAUCUUAAAAAUUGCAACCCAGUAUAAUCCUACUGACUUCCACUAAAUUUUAAUGGGGCUAAAUCAGGGCAGAAAGUGAUCCUAAGGAUAGAGUUUCAAUUAGCUUUGAAUUCCUUUGUCAAGUCCCCCUUUUCUUUUUGUCUUUUAGUUUAGAUUUGUGUGAAAAUGUAUACACACACACACACACACACACACAAAUGAUAACACUAUAUACAUAUACAUAUAAUUAUUUGUAUUAUUGCAGCACCUAGGAGCCUUAGUCAGGAGCCAGAACCCCAUUGUGCUAGGUGCUGUACAAACACAGGACAAAAGGAUGGUUCCUGCUCCAGAGAGUUUACAAUCUAAGACAAGAGACAACAGCUGGAGACAGACAGGUGGGGGAGUACAGGGAAACAAUGAGACCAUAUUGGUCAGCAGGACAGGCAGUGAUCUCAGCUCAUCAGCAGCCUAACUGUUAAGUUAUAUUAAGGCAUCAUGGCAAAGGAAAGUUUUAAAGAGGGGAUUUGUAGGAGAACAAUGUAGUAUUUUUGCAGAUGUUUACAGUGAGCUUCUCCCAAGCAUGAGGGACAGCAUAGCCAAAAUCACAUAGGUGCUUGUUUGAAAAUGUAACGAGUGGGUGAUGGAGGCUGGCAUCAUGAGCGGGGUCAGAUGUGGGAGCAAACAGCAAAUGAGAGAGUAGGUGUGAUGGCGCGUGCACCCCAUACUGAUCUGACAAGAGCUGGGUGGGGCCAGAUGGGUCGAAGCUACUAAUUAGGCUGAAAGUCAGGGAGCUAAUGGAGGAGGAAUUGGCUCACCUGGGCAAGAACAUGUGGGGUCUGUAGAAAGACAGGUAGCUGGCUACUGGGUAGGGGGUGGUGUCUAGGGAAGGGUAGUCACUCCGUGAAAAGGGGGGAGGAGUGUUUGAGGCUGCGGGAAGGCAGGCUGCACAGACUACCUUAGAGGAGGGAGUGAAGAAACUGGUGAACCCAGGGUGGGGGUGGGUAGCUACUUAGGUAGAAAAAAGCCCAGGGAAACAACAACGAGGUCAAAGGCAGUACAGGCUUCAGCUACAUGUUACAGGGUCCCUGAGCUGGAACCCAGUGCAGAGGGUGGGCCUGGGUUCCCCUACAAGUCAGUGGGUAUUGGCUCCGAGCACUGGAAAUGCCAGCUGGAUAGCUGGUCUGGAAACACUGGGAUUUCCCUGGAAGGGGAGGGACUUAGUGGCCUCGCUGGAGUACCAAUCCAUGGACUGGAAGCAUCUGCACCAAGAACGGGAGAGGCCACAUACACAGAGAAGAAGAUGGGUGGCGAGACCACUGAGAAGCGUGCAGCUUGAGACAGAGCUAAUCCCCAGAGUAACCAGCUGGAGGUGCCUCAAGUGGAGAGUGGACCCUGUGACAGUGGGGAUAGGCCAUGGAGAGCCUUUAAAAUGAAAGAAGUAGCUUUAUAUUUGGGUGCAAUGUGGAGCCAGUGAUGGGGUGCAAAGACAAGGUUACAUGGCCAAAGUGGUAGGACAGGGGAAUAAUCUUUGCAGCAACAUUCUGAAUUGUUGCAUUUGUCAAGGCCAGAGAAAAAGAUGUUACACAAAUUGAGAUGCAAGGUGAUAAGAGCCUGGAUAAGACUUAUCCACCCACAAAUCUAUAAGAAAAGAUAUAUCUUAAAGAUGUUAUGCAGAAAGAAUUUGCAAGAUUUAGACACAGUCUGGGUGUGAAGACCUUGAGAGAGGUCCAGGUCAAAGAUGACACUCAGGUUAUAGGCCUGAGUAACAGUCAGGAAGGUAGUGCUGUCCACAGUGAUUGAGAAAGGAAGUAGCAGGGAGCAUUUUGGGAAAAAAAAAUAAGAGCUCUGGUGUAGCCAUGUUGAGCUUAAGCUGAUGGUUAGACACUUACAUGGACAUGUCCGAGAGACAGGCUUCUAUUUAAUGGUACAAGACAAAAAAUGAAAAAUAGGUACAAUAGACUGAGAUGGCUCCUUUGGGCACUGAUUUUACACCCCAUAUUCUUUAUGGAAAUAUGCUUAUGAUGUGGAUAUGGUAUAACAGAUAUGUUUUAUGCAAGAUGGGUCUUGUAAGGUAUCACUGGAAAGAUUAUAAUUUACUGAAUGUGAUUAUCCAAUUUGUAUGCAUGUAUCAUUUCUGUAUCUAAAGUAAGGAAUAUUGACUGUGUAUUUGGGAGACACCCACCAGACAACAGGCCAUCACCCUUGAUGGGCCAUUAGGAAGAAACAGUAAGACUUUGAAGAUACUAAUCUCGCUCCUUCCUGAGAGGCAUCCUGGGAUGUAGCUGUGACACUACUAGGUCAGGUGGUCCUGUCACCUGGUACUAAACACCAUUUUGGAUUUCUAGUAAUUUUCCACUAAAAGAAGGGGACGGUCAAGACUGGGAAACAAAAAAGAUUCCUGCCUUAUGUAAAUCUUAUUUAAGGCUGGGGAGCAGGGCAAACAGGACUCUUCUCCAUUGCCUUCCUGCCCAAGAAGAAAGACUGCUGAAAGUACCUGAAGAGACAAAGGAACUGAACACUGAGAAAGGCAAGGGCUGAGUCCAGAGGAGUCUAGUAUGUAAAGAGAAAUAAUUGGAACUCUAAGCUACAGAAACUCUGCAACUUGCCUAAAACAACAUUUAGGGUGAGAAAUUACUUCUUGAAACUAGUCUCUUUAAGAUCUUAAGCUUAGUAUGUGUGUUUUGUUUUAUUUGCUUGGCAAUCUGCUGUGUUCUGUUUGUAUCCCUUAUAAUCACUUAAAAUCUGCCUUUUAUAGUUAAUAAACUUGUUUUGUUUGUUAUUAAA